GUGCUAUACAUGCAAGUCGAGCGAACUGAUUAGAAGCUUGCUUCUAUGACGUUAGCGGCGGACGGGUGAGUAACACGUGGGCAACCUGCCUGUAAGACUGGGAUAACUUCGGGAAACCGAAGCUAAUACCGGAUAGGAUCUUCUCCUUCAUGGGAGAUGAUUGAAAGAUGGUUUCGGCUAUCACUUACAGAUGGGCCCGCGGUGCAUUAGCUAGUUGGUGAGGUAACGGCUCACCAAGGCAACGAUGCAUAGCCGACCUGAGAGGGUGAUCGGCCACACUGGGACUGAGACACGGCCCAGACUCCUACGGGAGGCAGCAGUAGGGAAUCUUCCGCAAUGGACGAAAGUCUGACGGAGCAACGCCGCGUGAGUGAUGAAGGCUUUCGGGUCGUAAAACUCUGUUGUUAGGGAAGAACAAGUACGAGAGUAACUGCUCGUACCUUGACGGUACCUAACCAGAAAGCCACGGCUAACUACGUGCCAGCAGCCGCGGUAAUACGUAGGUGGCAAGCGUUAUCCGGAAUUAUUGGGCGUAAAGCGCGCGCAGGCGGUUUCUUAAGUCUGAUGUGAAAGCCCACGGCUCAACCGUGGAGGGUCAUUGGAAACUGGGGAACUUGAGUGCAGAAGAGAAAAGCGGAAUUCCACGUGUAGCGGUGAAAUGCGUAGAGAUGUGGAGGAACACCAGUGGCGAAGGCGGCUUUUUGGUCUGUAACUGACGCU
rnacentral:rRNA from 2 species